rnacentral:rRNA from 1 species
AACGAACGCUGGCGGCAGGCUUAACACAUGCAAGUCGAACGCCCCGCAAGGGCAGUGGCAGACGGGUGAGUAACGCGUGGGAAUCUACCCAGAUCUACGGAACAACAGUUGGAAACGACUGCUAAUACCGUAUACGCCCUACGGGGGAAAGAUUUAUCGGAUUUGGAUGAGCCCGCGUUGGAUUAGCUAGUUGGUGGGGUAAUGGCCUACCAAGGCGACGAUCCAUAGCUGGUCUGAGAGGAUGAUCAGCCACACUGGGACUGAGACACGGCCCAGACUCCUACGGGAGGCAGCGGUGGGGAAUAUUGGACAAUGGGCGCAAGCCUGAUCCAGCCAUGCCGCGUGAGUGAUGAAGGCCUUAGGGUUGUAAAGCUCUUUCACCGAUGAAGAUAAUGACGGUAGUCGGAGAAGAAGCCCCGGCUAACUUCGUGCCAGCAGCCGCCGUAACAC